rnacentral:lncRNA from 1 species
UUUUUUUUUUUUUUUUUUUUUUUUUGUCUUUUCUAGGGCUGCUCCUGUGGCAUAUGGAGGUUCCCAGGCUAGGGGUCAAAUCGGAGCUGCAGCCACCGGCCUACGCCAGAGCCACAGCAACGUGGGAUCCAAGCCGCGUCUGCAACCCACACCACAGCUCAGGGCAAUGCCGGAUCGUUAACCCACUGAGCAAGGGCAGGGACCGAACCCGCAACCUCAUGGUUCCUAGUCGGAUUCGUUAACCACUGCGCCACAAUAGGAACUCCCCGAAAAUUUUUUUUUUUUUAAAUUCUAGAAAGUUUCAUUAAGCAAAACUUGAAUUUGGCCUGCACUAGCAACUAUUUACAAAGCAUUUAUAUUAUAUUUUACAACUACUUAUACAGCAUUUACAUUUUAUUAGGUAUUAUAAGUAAUCUAGAGAUGGCUUAGAGUAUAAAAUGGGAGGUACUCAGGUUAUAUGCAAAUACCAUACCAUUUUAUUGUGGUAUGGGUUAAUAGGAAGGUCCUACCUUAGAUAGGAUGAUCUAAGAAAGUUGCUUUGAGGAGUUAUCAUUUAAGCUGAGAUUAUAGAGUCAAGGACUCACCCAAGAAAAGAGUGAAUUUAAGAAGCACCAGUUCCAGCAUGCUUCAAUAAUAACACUGAGAGAAAGUGAAAGCUGAAUAACCACAGUUCUCUUCCAAAGCAAGAAUUGCAGCACCUCAAGUGAACUCAACAGCAAAAACUAUUAGAAUCCAAUCACUCCCUAGGGGUGAAUACCAGAGGAAAAGAAAAGCUUCACAAGGUUCUGACUGGAACAAUAUCUUGUGGAGCUAGAUAGAACCCACCCUGCCCUGUCUGAUACUGGGAAACAAAGGUGACUUCACUUGCAGCUGCAUUGCUGCUAACAAAGCUCCUAAAGCACUUAGACCAUGACUGUCUAGUGGAAGUCUGAAACUCUGCUUCAUCCCACAGAACAAUCUCACUGGAGCAGAUGUGUCCAGAGGUAAGCCAUAUUAUUGCUACUAUGGUAACCUGGAAGUUAGAGAUAAAAAAUUCGCCCCUCAUCAGCACAGGGUAACCAGCACAACAAGCCAUUCCUUGACUGUGAAUGAAUUUUGAUAACUCCAGCUUCAGUAACUCCUGGGCAAGUAGCAGUGAAAAAAAAUAGCCUGUUGGAUCUACCUGGACACUCUAACAUAAUCAGAAAUAACUCUCCAUGACUCAAGUGAUUGAGAAACAAUAUAAACAAGACAGUUUUCUGAGUUCUGUUCAUACACCUUACUCAGAAUCUUCUUUCUUGUUCUCUCCACAUUGUUUUGCUUUGUUCACAGCUUUUGGAUUCAAUUCACUUGUUAGUUGACCUAUUGUGCUUUAGGUUUGUCUUAUGUUCUUGGCUUCACUGACUUAAUGACAACCACCCUCUUCAGGACUUUGGCAAAACAAAACAAAACAAAACAUUGUUUCUUUUCAUGCUGCCCAAUUAAAGUAGAUAAAGUCUCCAUUAUCUUAGCUCUUAUGCUCAACCCUGAAAUCAUCUACCGAGAUGUCUCACAGGUAAGGCUUUUUUCAUUGUAAGGGAAGGUUAGGGCACUGGAAGUCAUUCUCUUCAAGUAAGAAAUGAUGGCUCCUGAUGAAGAACGGAAAAGACAACUGUCACUCCAUCAUUCCAGCUCUAACUUUAGCUUUCUAUGAAUUUUUUUUUUUUUCUGGUCAAAGGUGAAUGAAAAAAUUGGAAAGAGGAGGAUGCAUUUUAUUUUGUUUUGUUUGUAAAGAAAUGAGCCUAUUUCCAUAGAUGGAACAACAUGGAGUAGAAAGUUACUGGGAAAGGAGUCUAAUAAAAGUGAACUAAGAAAGGGCAAAUUUUGUGAUAUACUAAGUCUAAUUGUUUAAAUCCAUUUUAAAAUUUGGUGCCAAAGAGUAUUGCUUUACUUUAUAAAUGGAUCUGAACAUUUAAUACUAACUGUGUUCUACUACUACAAAUAGGACCAAGGUCUCUAUAAACAAUCAGGUAAGAUCAUGCCAUACCGACAAAAGUGUGCAAAAAUGCUAAUAAACUCAGCUCAUAGGAAGAGAAGAUGGUUGUUAUGAUCUCAUCCCCUAAAUAUAAAUCUCCAGCUUAAGGCAUUCUGCAGUUGUCACUGGGUCAACACAAUAAAAGCAAGGGAUUAAGUUAAAUCCUGGCCUUUUCAGUCAAACAGAUGGACAAAUAUUCAUGAGAGAAGCACAUGGACCAGGAAGAUGAUAGCAAAAAAUUGCCCAUGCUAGGCUCACCUCUGUGUGACUAAACCCUAUUCCACAGGUUUUCUAAUGGCUUAAAAGAGCAGGGUUAGCUAUCCUUGAAAAAGACAAAUAAUGGUCCUCUACUAGGAAGACAUCCUGAAAUCAUCAGGGAAGAUUUUUUUCCCCAAAAUUAACCUUUCCUUCCUUCAGCUGGGAACUGUGGACUAAAUUUAAUUGGAGUAAUCAUUUUAGAUAAAAGACAUGAAGAAAAUUAAAGUAUAAUGGUAGGAUUACCAUUAGAAACUAUGUCUCCUAAAAAUACUCUAAAAAGCCAAUGUUCUGAGAAGCCAAGAAUAUUGGUUAAUUUUAUACCACUGUGAUAGACUGAAAACUGUACCAAAAUAUGGAGGCUACUUGACUCCAUAUUUGCCUCAAUCAACAACAUGCAAGGAAGAAGCCCAAUAUGUCAAAUCACCAUCCCACAGCUUAGGGAUGACUAACUUUGACAGGAGAGCAGUGUUUUACACUCAUCUCAUUAAACUCUGUCCAUUUUCACAUAACACCACAUGGUUCCCAGUAUGCACCACAGAGACAACUUUGAGUCUUUAGAUACAAAUGUCAUGAGUGAGCUGGGGUAGUGUUUUCUGUUUCUCUUCCCCCAUUGUCAUGGCAACAGAGGGGAAAGGUGGAAGGCAGGCUUUAUACCAAGAUUGCUGGCAUGUGGGCUCAGGCUUCUCCCCCAAAAAAUCUGGAUCACAGUCACACACGGAAAUUAUAAGAUCUUCUGAGAAUAAAAGGAAACCAAAUCAUAUUAAAGGUAUGUUAUUUUGUCUUUUAUCCUGUUCUUACAGGAAAUUUAAAGAUCUCUAAAACAUUGUUUUCAAACUGUCAGGUAUACUAUUUUGCUCUUAAAAUUAAGAUAGCGGGUUGUGAACUUUAAAAUAAAAAGGAGAAACAGACUACGAUAGGAUAGAUAAGAUAAAUAUAUAGAAUGGAAAAUAUUUGCAGGCAUCAUGCAUAGAAAAUGUAAAUAUUGUGAAAAUUUUGUUUCAAUUUAUAAAUGUCUGCAUAAAUGUACUAAGUCACGAUUUACAUGCAUUUUUUCUGUAGUUUAUGAAAAUGUUUGAAAACUACUGCCAUAAAGAAUACCUAUCCGAUUGCCCAAAUAGUAUUUCUUUACAGGAAUGCAAUUGGCUUUGUGAGCUGGCCAAUCUCCUUUAUAAGUAAUUAAUUCACAUACUGCAGGACUUAAAGUCAUGUAUUUUCCCUAGCUACUAAAUUCCAGUACUUCUCCCUGGUCACUGUAACAACUACAUGUUUCCAAAUGCUACCUGAGAAGUAAUUCUAUAAAGAAAUAUGAAUCCAAUGAUCAAAGGUUGCUAACUCAAUGCAUACCUGCUGAAAAAAAAGUGUUUCCAAGAUCCUUUUGCAUUGAGAGCUUGACGUCCAAUGGCGGUCACUUUGUAGGCCUUUAUCUGGGAAGUGUACAUUGUUCUAUUUAUUCUGCAAAUUAAGUCUUCUGUUCCAAGCUACCACCAAUCUGAUACUAAAUUCAUUAGCAAAAUGAAAUGAAAAGAACAUAACAUAAAUUGCUAUUAAUGGAGUUCCAUGCCUGUUGCUCCCCACACAAUGUACUAAAAAUGGACUCAUCUCUAUUUGAAUCAGUGCUUUUCAAUAUGUAGCAUUGCAGUAGGAAGGUUUUUCCUUAAAACUACAAAAGCAUUUUAUAAAGCUCCCUUUCAAGGCUAACCUAGAGGAAUUUUUGCCAUCAACAUAUGUUGAUUAAGAAUUUACACUUCGGUAGAUCUCUCUUCUAUAUUUAGGAUCAAAUAAGGAGAAAUUAUGGUCUGGGCUAAAGAAUUGAAACUGUAAUAUUGUAAUAAUUGUAAGAUAUUUCUUACUUCCUGUGACUUACUUUGUAUGACAGUGAUAAGCAGCUCAUAAUGCUUCAUCUGCCAUUCCUAUCCACAGAACCUAGAAAUAGUACAGUAUACAACAAUUUUUAAAUGAAGACAGAAUCAGCUGGUAGCACCCUAUUCCAGUAUAUUAGUUACAUUUACACUUGAAUGGGGGAGUUUCUCUUCUUUGGAGCAAAAUAUAGUCUUUAUAGAUUUCUAAAACUUAGUUAUCUUUCCCAAGUUUGAAAUAAUAGAUAUUUUGAAGGUAUCAAGAGAAACAGCAUGAAUUUAUAACCUAUUCAGAAAUGGUAAAACUGCGCUUGAAUUUUUCACAAACUUCCCUAUCUCUGGCUGGCUUGGGACCUAACUAUGUGUAAGCAAGAUUUAAGUCAACCAAAUCUAAAAUUCGCAAAUACUCUGAAUUACCCAUCUAUUUUCCUUCCAGGACCCCAAGAGGAACUGAACUGAAUUCUUACUUCCCAUAAUGAGUAUUAAUGGACAAUUUGUUAGAGAUGAAAAAGCAAACCUUAAAGAAGGGUUUUUAAGUCAGAUAAUCACACCUAUUGCUCAAGGAUUAUCUUCAAAUAGUUUAUUGAAAAAAAUGUCAAGAAGCAAAAAAUGGACAUGAAGAAAGAUAAAAGUGAAAAUGAACAAUAUCAUAAUACAUGUUUAAAUGAUAAAGUGAAUAAAAAAUAUGAGAAAAAGUACUUUUUUUAAAAUAGAAAGACUAUUCAAAUGAGUAAAAGAAGGCCACAUAGUGGAAGGUCUGAGGGAUAAAUCCAGAUAGAUUGCACAUUGCAAGUGUUCAGUAAAAAGUAUUCAAAGGGAGAAAAAAAUGCAAUAGGCAUUGGGUAAG